CCGGCGCCGCCGCGGACCCGCAGUUGCUAGGGAGAAUGCGCUUCCGGGUCAAGAGCGAGCGUUCCUGUGAGCGACGGUGGCCGUAUGGGGCCAAGAGCGAAGCGCCGGGCGAGUGGGCGGUGGAGAUGUUGGUCGCUGCGGCAGGGGCUCGAGCGAGGGGCGGUGCGUGGACCAGCCCGCGUGGGCAGCUCACGACGUCCCUGGGCUUCCUGUCCUCGCUGGUGAACUACGCCAGCGCCUUCCUUGUUACCAGCUCUUCUUACUCAUCCAUCCAUUGACCCAUCAGCACACCUGUGCGGGGCUACGUGCAUUAUUGGCACGUGGGGUACAGAGCUGCGUAACACCGGCGCGGUCUGUACCCUAGAAUGUGCGGGCUGGUGACCAAGGAGGUGACAGUGUCCGGCUCACCGAGGUGAGCGAAGAAGCUGUGAAAGCCUGCGUGAGAAAGGCCUGCCUAGGCACAAGAAGGGGAGAGCGGACAGACCUCGACCAAGUGGAGGAGGAGGGCAAAGUGUGCCAAGCCACGGAGUAGAUGAGUGUGGAGUGAAGGCCGCCUGAAGGCGGCGUGGCCAGACCAGAGAGGUGUUUUAAGAAUUGCUUAUAGUUAGGGGUGGAGCCUAGAACAUGACGACUCUGAACCAAACAGAAGGAACCCCCAAGGAGCGUCCAGAGAAGCAUGAGAAGGAAGUGUGUCAGUGAGGAGUUGGUCACCGUUGUCAACCUCUGUGGAGACCAUGUGUCCAGUGGUGCCCGUAGAAUAAUCAACAUUCAAGAAUACAAUUAAAUAAUACUGUUAAAGUAGAAGGUGCUGGAACGGGGCCCACUUCUGGUGAAGGAGGCCGCUGCAUUAUUCUACAUGUUGAAUCAAGAAAAAGCGAUAUGGCAAACUUCUAGAUUUCUUAAUUCUUUAAAAAGCCCCACUUUGGUAUACCUUACAUGUCUGCUUAAGGAAUGAACCAGGGGAUCUUUUGGGUUAUUUUUUUGGUUGGUUGGUUGGUUGUUUUUUGUUGUUGUUUGUUUGUUGUUGUUGUUGUUGUUUUUUAGCUUUAUCACAGAUCCUUCCGGAACCCUCAGCCAAACUGCCAUGUAGACAGAACUUGCCUAUUUAAACUGCAGAGACUAGAUAGCAGGGAUUUGGUUCAGUGACUAGGAAGCAGGCCAGCGAAUGGGAAAACCCACAAGAGACAAGAAAGGGUUGAAACAGUAAAAUAUGGGAUGGGGGUGCUAGAAAUGGAAGGUGAGGCUAAGAAAACCAAAACUAAACUCAAGAAUCAAAUGUCAAGGACAAGAACAAAGGAAGGAGAGCCAAGAUCAUUAGAUUACCCAAAACCUCAUUUUGACUGGACAUCUGGCAAGUGUGAUGACUGAAAAGUGACAGGGUGGACAUGCUACCACGACCUCUUAAGUGGAAUAAGCGUGGCUUCCUCGUGAAGAGCACAGCACACUUUGGAGUGGACCUGGACUAAAAGGCUUGCUCCACAUGUCUAUCUCUGGCCCAUGUACAUUCUUCAUAGAACAAGCAUGUCCAUAAGCUAUUCUGAAAGAUUUAGAAAUAAUGGUUUCCUCUGGGAAACUGUGACUCUAUUCCUGAUUGAUUUAACCAGCUUUCUAUGAAAGUAAAUCAAUUGAUUUUUUAAAAUGUGUGGCUGAAGAAUAUGGGAACCCACAAGGUAUGGUCAAGAGGACUGUCUUAAUCCAUUCUGAUUGCUGUGACAAAAUACCAUAGACUGAGUAUAAGCAGACUUCCCUAGAGGCUGAGAAAUCCAAAAUCAAGGCACAAACCUAUUCAGUGUCUGAUGUAGACCCGCUUCCUGAUUGAUAAUCAGCAAUCUGCUCAAUGUGUCCCCACAAGACAGACAAGACAAGGGAGUUCUCUAAAGUCUAUUACAAGACUAUCCAUCCAUGAAGACUUUGGUGCCCAUGACCUAACGCCCUAUCAAUGACUCCCUCUCCCAAUACUAUCUAUCACACAAGGUGUUGGGGAGAUGGGGAAGGAAACAGACAUGAAUUCUGUAGCAAAGACCUAGGACCAAAUCAAGACCAGUUAAGGUUUAGUAAAAGUAAGCUACAUCUGUUGUUUGGUGAAUAACAGGCGUAAAGCCAACUCAUGAUCUAGAAAAGAGAAGGUCCGAGUGCAUGAGUCGGUGAAUUCUAUCUUGCAUAUACCUUGUGGUGUAUUCUACUGAAGGGCCAGGUGAUUCACUGGGCUCCAUUCAGUUGGGUUUCUGUGGAAUGUCAGUGGUGUUGUAAGAGAUGGGAACUUACUGUUGUUCUGAAAGGCCUAUUUUAGUCUGCACUUCAACAAGGAAGUAAAGGAUCAGGAAAGGAGUGUGAACCAGGGUGAAAGCUGAAAACAUUCCAAGAAGCAAAGUAGAGGAGUGAGUGCUUGCUGGCCAGGAGGAAUCUGGGAAGACUUCAGAUGCUGAAGACCAUAUAUGUGGGCUGAAGGCAUGAGCCAAGAAUAAUGGUUCGCAUUUAAAAUUUUGCUGGACAAACAGCUCAGCUGUUAACAGCACUGGCUGCUCUUCCGGAGGACCCGAGUU